rnacentral:rRNA from 2 species
GUCUUAUUGAAAAUAAUUUUAAGUCUGAUCUGCCCAAUGAAAUUUUAAAUGGCUGCAGUAUUUUAACUGUACAAAGGUAGCAUAAUAAUUUGUCUCUUAAUUAGGGACUUGUAUGAAUGAUCAAACGAGAUAAUAACUGUCUCUAAAUAAAUUAUAGAAUUUUAUAUUUAAGUAAAAAAGCUUAAAUUUUUUUAAAAGACGAGAAGACCCUAUAGAGUUUUAUAUUUUUAUUAUUAUAAAUUUUUAGUAUUAAUAAUUAAUUUUAAAUAAAAAUAUUUCAUUGGGGUGAUGAAAAAAUUAAAAUAACUUUUUUAUAUUUUUAACAUAAAUUUAUGAUUUUUUGAUCCAAUAUUUUUGAUUAUAAGAUUAAAUUACCUUAGGGAUAACAGCGUAAUUUUUUUAAAGAGUUCUUAUCGAAAAAAAAGAUUGCGACCUCGAUGUUGGAUUAAAAUUAAUUUUUGGCGUAGAAGUUAAAAUAUUAGGUCUGUUCGACCUUUAAAAUUUUACA